rnacentral:rRNA from 1 species
AGCAGUGGGGAAUAUUGCACAAUGGGCGCAAGCCUGAUGCAGCAACGCCGCGUGAGGGACGACGGCCUUCGGGUUGUAAACCUCUUUUAGUAGGGAAGAAGCGAAAGUGACGGUACCUGCAGAAAAAGCACCGGCUAACUACGUGCCAGCAGCCGCGGUAAUACGUAGGGUGCAAGCGUUAUCCGGAAUUAUUGGGCGUAAAGAGCUCGUAGGCGGUUUGUCGCGUCUGCUGUGAAAACCCGAGGCUCAACCUCGGGCCUGCAGUGGGUACGGGCAGACUAGAGUGCGGUAGGGGAGAUUGGAAUUCCUGGUGUAGCGGUGGAAUGCGCAGAUAUCAGAGGAACACCGAUGGCGAAGCAGAUCUCUGGCCGUAACUGACGCUGAGG